CUAAAACUUGACAUUUGCCAUGUUUUUUAUUAGACCUUCGGGAUUCAUUCAGAAUCCCGUGAACACAAAGGAACUAUACUAUCCUACCACAUUUGACAUUUUGAAAUCAACGGUCCCAUCAAAAUUUUCAUCUGGGGUCGUUUAGAUAAAGUAUGUGGCCCACAACCAAAGGCCACUUUUAUCAAAAUCCACCUAUUAGGCUAAAAUGUCCCCUUAGCCUUAAAUCGACGUUCCGGAGAUGAUGAAACUAUUGGAACAGGAAUACGCGGUCGUUAACUUGAAGUUUACGGCCGACAGCCAAUUCUUAACAAUAAAAACUUUAAAUAGGGAAUUGGCUCUAAAAAUCAAACGAACUGCCCGAUAACCGAACUAUCAGCUCCUCAUGACGUCAUAAAUGACUUGGGGCAACUACAAGAAAGCUCUAAACUACGAAAAAGUGUGAAAAUAUGCGAAAAUACAAAAAAAUGACCUGGAAAAUCAUUACAGUCGAGUUACUAAAUGUCCUGCUCAAUUACAAAAAGAUCUAGGAGAUAUUCCCAUUUGAAAAUGUAGUCAAUGCGAGGCUGCCGAUGAUGCCAUCAUCGUCCUGCCCAUCAUUAACAAUCAAGUCAACGUUGAGUUUGAAGGCAGAGGAGGCGGCGACGGUCCAGGCGAAAACAGGGUCAAGUGGAGUGCUAUUGCAAUUGCGGUUGUGCAUGAUGUUUUUGUGGUGGUGGCGGUGGAUGAGGUGGAGGAGAGGAUUGAUCUAGUAGCGAUGGUGGAAGAUGUGGAGGAGAGGGUUGCUCUACUGCUUAAUGUCUGUG
rnacentral:lncRNA from 1 species